AACCAUUUCACUCUUAGAACUGGCAAUAUAAUGAGAUGAUGCACCUGUCAGCACCUACAACAGCAUGACAGAAGUUGGUGGCAAAAGUCUAAACAACAUAAGUUAUAAGUAGCAGCAGUUGACUUGGAUUGCCGUGAUUAUCAGUAUCGAGAUGGUUUUCUUAUACUCGUGGAGUAACAAACCAUCCAGAGAACAGAAAAUAAUCAUUUAGUUUUCAUAAGAAAGUUAAUGAA